UACGAAGGGGGCUAGCGUUGCUCGGAAUCACUGGCGUAAAGCGCACGUAGGCGGAUUGCUAAGUCAGGGGUGAAAUCCUGGAGCUCAACUCCAGAACUGCCCUUGAUACUGGCGGUCUCGAGUCCGGGAGAGGUGAGUGGAACUGCGAGUGUAGAGGUGAAAUUCGUAGAUAUUCGCAAGAACACCAGUGGCGAAGGCGGCUCACUGGCCCGGUACUGACGCUGAGGUGCGAAAGCGUGGGGAGCAACAGGGAUUAAGAAACCCUUGGUACGUCC
rnacentral:rRNA from 1 species